AGGAUGAACGCUGGCGGCGUGCUUAAGACAUGCAAGUCGAACGCAGAGUGAUCGUAAGGUUGCUCUGAGUGGCGAAUGGGUGCGUAACACGUAGGUGAUCUGCCCAGAAGUGUGGAAUAACAGUCCGAAAGGACUGCUAAUACCGCAUGUGGCGCGGCGGGGUUAGACGGCCCGCACGCGAAAGGCGAGCAAUCGUCGCUUCGUGGAGGAGCCUGGCCGGCCCAGUCAGGUAGGUUGGGUAGGGUAAUGGACCUACCAAGCCUACGGACGGGUAGGGGACCUCGAGGAGGGUCCGGCCCCCCACACCGUGGACACUGACACACCGGGCCAGACUCCGUAACGGG
rnacentral:rRNA from 1 species